GACAGAGGGUGCAAACGUUGUUCGGAAUUACUGGGCGUAAAGCGCGUGUAGGCUGCUCUGCAAGUCGGAUGUGAAAGCCCUGGGCUCAACCUAGGAAGUGCAUUCGAAACUGCAGAGCUUGAGUCCUGGAGAGGAAGGCGGAAUUCUCGGUGUAGAGGUGAAAUUCGUAGAUAUCGAGAGGAACACCGGUGGCGAAGGCGGCCUUCUGGACAGUGACUGACGCUGAGACGCGAAAGCGUGGGGAGCAAACAGG
rnacentral:rRNA from 1 species